rnacentral:lncRNA from 1 species
GUUGCAUCCUUAUAUCUUCACGGCAAUAUAUAUAUGUACAUAUAUAUAUAUGUAUCAUAUUAUUGGGACCUGGACAGGCUGGACAAGUGGGCCCAUGAGAACCUAACGAGGUUUAACAAGGCCAAGUGCAGGGUGCUGCACUUGGGUCGGGGCAAUCCCAGGUAUUUAUACAACCUGGGGGAAGAGGUACUUGAAAGCAGCCCUGCGGAAAGGGACUUGGGGGUCCUGGUGGACGAGAGGCUGGACAUGAGCCAGCAGUGUGCGCUGGCAGCCCGGAGGGCCAACUAUGUUCUGGGCUGCAUUAAAAGAGGAGUGGUCAGCAGGGAGAGGGAGGUGGUGGUCCCCCUCUACUCGGCUCUCGUGAGGCCCCAUCUGGAGUACUGUGUCCAGGCCUGGGGCCCCCAGCACAAGAAGGACGUGGAGCUGUUGGAACGAGUGCAGAGGAGGGCGACCAAGAUGAUCAGAGGGCUGGAGCACCUCUCCUAUGAGGAAAGGUUGAGGGAACUGGGCUUGUUCAGUUUGGAGAAGAGAAGGCUCCGGGGAGACCUCAUUGUGGUCUUCCAAUACUUGAAGGGAGCGUAUAAACAGGAGGGGGAUCGAUUGUUUGUGAGGGUGGAUAGUGAUAGGACAAGGGGGAAUGGUUUUAAGCUGAGACAGGGGAGAUUUAGGUUAGAUAUUAGGAGGAAGUUUUUCACACAGAGGGUGGUGACGCACUGGAACAGGUUGCCCAGGGAGGUUGUGGAUGCCCCGUCCCUGGAGGCAUUAAAGGCCAGACUGGACAUGGCUCUGGGCAGCCUGGUCUAGUGGUUGGCGACCCUGCACUUGGCAGGGGGGUUGAGACUCGAUGAUCUUUGAGGUCCUUUUCAACCCAAGCCAUUCUAUGAUUCUAUGAUUCUAUGAUUCUAUGAUUACCUGCCCUGCUGCAUUUUCUUCAGGUGGUCAAUGCCAGGGUGUCUCAGUGUUUUACUAAGAUGCAUUUUUCAUAGAUCCCCCAAGAGGCAAAGAG